UGGAAUCCCACAAGUGGUGUCUAAGGAAGGUAGAGUGUAUGGAUACCUUACCAUUACCUCGUGGAGUAGAGUGAGGUGAACAACAGAAGCCACAUGGAGUCUAGCGAAAAAGGAAGUCCCUUAGGAAUUGUAUCGCCACUCAAUAUCUUUGGGGAAAAUACAAUAAUUAGAAUCACAUAAAUGCGAUCCCUAAUAGGGUAUCCAAGUAAAGUAGUGUCAAUAUCUUACCUUAAGGAAAAUUAAUACACACUGUUAAGUGAAUUCAAUAUUUUAAAGACUUGGUAAAUGGGCAGGGGUUCUUGAAUUCUGAUCAAACACUUUUCACAUACUCUCUUACAAGUGAAUAUGUUAGAAGUUCAGUACUAAUCAAGAUUUUUUUAAGGCUUCUGUUGAAGGGAUGAUAUAGAUGGGUGAUACACAGUCUGGGCAACCUGGUGAGAUUAGAGGAGAUUGCAAGAUGGCUAGUAUCCACCAAUAUAGUAUUGAAGUCUUGUUUGAGACUUCACAAAGAAAAUAGUAAAAGUCUCUUUGUUUUUUUUAUUGCAAAAAUGUAACACAAAAAAAAAACCUAUAUGAGUUCUCACUUAAUACUACCCUUAUAAUAAAACAACAAAUAGACUUUUAGUCUUUUCAAUUUGAAGUCUCAAACAAGGUUUCAACACGUGGUCGGUGUCAAUUAGCCACCUUGCAAUCGUGUCUAAACUCACCAGGUUGCCUAGAAUGCAAAUCACCCAUAAUUAUCAUCCCUUAAAAAAACUUUGAUUUUUUUUUCUUGAUUUACGUUGAACUCUCUAACAUAUUCACUUGUAAGAGAGUUAGUGAAAUGUGUUUGAUCAGAAGUCAAGAACCCUUUUCCAUUCAUCAAGUCUUUGAAUAUUAAUUGUCAAAUAUUGAUCUGUCAGUAGAAAGACAAUGAAACUUCCAACAUUUCCUCAUCUGUUAGUUUUAUCUAUUUUUUUAGUGUAUGAAACUUUUUUCAUCUUUAAAUUUUCCAAAUUUAUCUAGCAAUGGUGUUGGUGUUUUUUUAAAAGUGGGGCAGCACAAAAAGAUUAAAAAUGUCUCUCAAUGGAUUGAAAUGACUUUCAAUAGCUUUCAAUGAUUUUAUUAAGCAUUGAGGGGCAUUAAAUAGCCAACAUAAAAAUAUAAUCUGCAUAAUUUGAAAUUUAAACAACCUAAAAUAUCUCAACAACAUAAACAAACUAACUAAAAUUCAAAAUUCAAAUUUAUUCAAACUAAAUAACUUAUUUGACUAAAAGUUAACUACAGUAACUAAAAGCAAACUUCAACACUCCUCAUUUGCUUUAGUUACUGCAAUUGAAAAAAAUGCUCCUCCUCAAUUUUUGCUUUGAUAGUUAUGCUGGAUUUUUUUCAUUGUUUUUGAACUUGCAAAAUUUCUUCUUUUUUCUUUUUCUUCUUUUGAUUUUGUUCUUCAAAAACACAUGCGAUGACAUUGUCUUGUGUAGACGUUUUUUUGAAAGUGCUUUAAUAUGAACUUUUAUAUGAUUUGCAGAUAGAGGUUGUAAGGGUUUUUCUUCCAUCACAACCUCACAUAUCACAUAGGUUUCAGAAUAUGAUUUUAUUCUCAAACACCAAAUUUGAUAGUUUUCGUCUGUGAAAAUUUGUGGGGCAUUCAAAGAGAGACAUCUUCUUGCCAUUAUUUUGGUUAAAAAAUGAUUUAGAAAAGUCUAUGCGUUGAAAAAAGCACGGGUUGAAAAGGUAGCCUUGAUGGGUUAAAAUGGGUAGCCCUGAUGGGUUAAAAAGGUAGCCCUUACGGGUUAAAAUGUAUAGUAGUUUUUGGAAGAUUUCACAAAUCUCUUAAAAUCAAUGAAGCUCUGAUACCAUUGUUGGUGUUUUUUUAAAAGUGGGGCAGCACAAAAGGAUUUAAAAUGUCUCUCAGUGGAUUGAAAUGAUUUUCAAUAGCUUUCAAUGAUUUUAUUAAGCAUUGAGGGGCUUUAAAUAGCCAACAUAAAAAUAUAAUCUGCAUAAUUUGAAAUUUAAACAACCUAAAAUAUCUCAACAACAUAAACAAACUAACUAAAAUUCAAAAUUUAAAUUUAUUCAAACUAAAUAACUUAUUUUGCUAAAAGUUACUACAGUAACUAAAAACAAACUUCAACAAAUGGCUUAAAUGGGUAAAAAAAAUAAUGUGGAAAUUGGAUGUCGGAUCAACAAUUAAGAAGGAAUGAAUAGAAAGUAAUGAAAUUGUUUCUCUCAUUUUUUUAUUGAGGAAGUAACUAGACUAAUAAAAUAUUCACUCUUUACAGAAAACAUAUGUUAUGCAUUUAUUGAUUUGGUAAUUUCCUAUGCAAGAAACUUUAUUGAGACCCAUGAAGGGGAACUUUCACAAUUACGCAAAGGUAUGCAUAUGUUUUGGCCAAGAAAUGUAUUAAUGUUGAUGUAUUUAGUAACUAUACGUUAGUCACAAUUAUGCCCCAAUUCUACUAAACAAGGAUUAUAACCUAAGCCCUCAAUUUCAAAAGAUCUAUAACCGAAGAAAAAUUUAAAUCUUGAACCAUAGAUUACAAUUGUGAACAUCACUUCUGGGCCUAAACAUAAUUUUAAACACCAGCCAGAUCUAUAAAACUUGUUAUAUAAAAAAUGUAAGUAAUCUCAUGAAUAUUGCAGACUUAGAAUACCAAGAAUUAAUUAGAAGAAUACUUGAUUUCACUAUAGCUCCAAUCUCUUGCAAGAACUAACAUGCUAAAGCUUCCUUUCCUUCUGUGUUAGGAGACAAUUUCAAUGGCUG
rnacentral:lncRNA from 1 species